ACGCCCUGAGCCGAAGGCAGACGCUUAACCACUGUGCCACCCAGGGGCUUUCCUCCAAGUGGAGAUUCCAGGAUCCAGGCUCUUUGCCGUCUCAGUAAAUGUUAUGCAGGUAGCUCUUGUCAUCGUUGUUGAGCUGGUGGUGUCCACAAGCAUGAGGUUGGUGCAUGGACCAGGCGCGGAGAUGGUGCGUAUGCUUCUGCUCCUGUUUCAUGGGGGACCACGCCGGACCUCCCUGGGAGGCAGGCUGCGACUUGUAGUUUAGCCCUGCUCCUAUUUGACCUUUCCGUGUCUCAGUGUCCUCACCUGGUGAUACUGGGAUGUUGUGAGUUUCAGAUGCCUAAAUACAGGUUAGGGGCUUAGAACAGUGUGUGUAAUGUGCCCCAUGAAGUGCAGCUGUUAUACAGUUACACGUGGCUUCCCAGUUUCACGUGGUCUGACUCAGCCACUCUUCAGCGACAGCAUGGAGGACACAGACUCAGGGACAGACAGAGACACCACCGGCCCGGCACAAUGGCCAGUUCUGGGACCCUCUGCCUGCUGUAGUGUUCAUUCCACCACCCUGGAUGAUAUUCUGAAAGAAUGCCUUUUAUUUAUACCUUAGAAGUCGGGGAACAAAGCUGCUUCAUUUGAGAUCAUUCAAACUCAUCUCCUGAUUUAUUAAAGUAAUUCUGCUGAUUUGUUUGA